rnacentral:rRNA from 1 species
GAUCAUUACCGAGUUAUUCAACUCAUCAACCCUGUGAACAUACCUAAACGUUGCUUCGGCGGGAAUAGACGGCCCCGUGAAACGGGCCGCCCCCGCCAGAGGACCCUUAACUCUGUUUCUAUAAUGUUUCUUCUGAGUAAAACAAGCAAAUAAAUUAAAACUUUCAACAACGGAUCUCUUGGCUCUGGCAUCGAUGAAGAACGCAGCGAAAUGCGAUAAGUAAUGUGAAUUGCAGAAUUCAGUGAAUCAUCGAAUCUUUGAACGCACAUUGCGCCCGCCAGUAUUCUGGCGGGCAUGCCUGUUCGAGCGUCAUUACAACCCUCAGGCCCCCGGGCCUGGCGUUGGGGAUCGGCGGAGCCUCUCUGUGGGCACACGCCGUCCCCCAAAUACAGUGGCGGUCCCGCCGCAGCUUCCAUCGCGUAGUAGCUAACACCUCGCGACUGGAGAGCGGCGCGGCCACGCCGUAAAACACCCAAC